UAUCGUCGGUUAGACGUCCAGCAGACAGCUAGGCAACUGAAACGCACAGAAUUGCAUCUUUCGUCUAGCCGUUGUAUAUCUCUGAUAUGCUUAAAUAAAACGCCAUUAUUAUUAAGAAAGAGGCUAAAUUCAACUUUUGAGUGCAAAGUGUGCCAAUCUCGAUUUUUCCUAUUGUGGUCGUCACGCUUGCCCUAGUUUGACGUGCUUUUACUUUUAGCUAACACACGUAUUAUCUUCAUUAUACUGUUUGGUCUGUGCUACGAAAUGAUUGUGUUGAAAAUAAAACUGAGUUUUUUUGUCGUUAUUAUAAUCAGCUCAGCGAGCGUUAUUCUAGCUCGUGAAGAGUCUGCGACCGCAAAUAGGAACAGCUUGAGGAACGGAACUGCGGGAUCUCCGAAGUCCGAGUUGGAAGCAGCCCCGCUUGGCUUGCCAGACAUAUCGCGUAAAUGCAGCUCCUCACUCAUCGCGUAUACGUUGUGAUGCAAUGCAAAGAUUUAAUUGCGUCCGAGCUUGUCGUGGGGUAAUGAGGACUACGUGCGUUAAGCAGGGAGAUGGGACUUACCUCUGUGUGUGCUUUAAUGGUGAUCUUUAUGGUAAUCAUGACCGAGCAGAUGGCCAAGUCAUUUUUCUUAGUAACGUUUUCGGACGAACAACAAAGGCACCUUUUCCAUAUUAUCUGGAACCACUUCACCUGCAACAUGGACGUAGAGGAGGCGUGUCAGAUCCUUGUGAUCCGCGAUCACGAUUCCGGCAUAUUUUUAACUACGAGGAGCGGAUAGCUCACGAAAAGAACAACGAUGUCAGCGACCGUGUCUUCGUAUAAGCACUUUACCACUGUGCAAAUCUACAAAUACAGCGAUAAAAUUACUGCAAAUAUAUCACAUACAUUUAGUGAUUUCCGGAGGCUGCACGCGAUGUCACUGCAAUGUUCUGAAACCCGUUUUUCGAGAAAGGGAUCUAUCAGGCAUCAAAGUGCUUCUGAUUGGAAUAAAAAAUUGUGCAAAGCGAAGCUUGUAGAGAUUCGUAAGCUAGUGAUAAUGUACAAAACAGAUAUAUAUAUAUAUAUAUAUAUAUAUAUAUACA